UUGAAGAAAAAGGUGAAGCUGCCAGCAUGAUCUAUCUUGAGUGUGUUCUGGCAUUAAGAACCCUAAAUAGGUCAUGCUGUCGGCUUCACCUUUUGCUUUC
rnacentral:pre_miRNA from 1 species